rnacentral:rRNA from 1 species
GAUUAGCCUGCGUCCGAUUAGCUCGUUGGUGGGGUAACGGCUCACCAAGGCGACGAUCGGUAGGUGGUCUGAGAGGACGAUCACCCAGACUGGGACUGAGACACGGCCCAGACUCCUACGGGAGGCAGCAGUCGGGAAUUUUGCGCAAUGGACGAAAGUCUGACGCAGCAACGCCGCGUGAGGGAUGAAGGCCUUCGGGUUGUAAACCUCUUUUAUCAGGGAAGAUAAUGACGGUACCUGAUGAAUAAGUCACGGCUAACUACGUGCCAGCAGCCGCGGUAAUACGUAGGUGACAAGCGUUGUCCGGAUUUACUGGGCGUAAAGAGCGCGCAGGCGGUCGUUCAAGUCGAGUGUGAAAGCCCCCGGCUCAACUGGGGAGGGUCAUUCGAUACUGAUCGACUGGAAGGCAGGAGAGGGUAGUGGAAUUCCCGGUGUAGUGGUGAAAUGCGUAGAUAUCGGGAGGAACACCAGUGGCGAAGGCGACUACCUGGCCUGUUCUUGACGCUGAGGCGCGAAAGCUAGGGGAGCAAACGGGAUUAGAUACCCCGGUAGUCCUAGCUGUAAACGAUGUCAACUAGCUG